AUUUAUAUAGUUUAUUUAAAAACCUCUUAAUUUCAAUAAGAAGAUGAGAGACCUCUCUCUAUAAAUA
rnacentral:tRNA from 1 species